AUACUCUGGUUUCUCUUGAGAUUGCAUAAAUCUUUCACCUUUUACUAAAGUUUUCCAUGGAGAGGAACAUUUAUGAAUUUAUAACUACGUUUUUGAGGCUCUGCUUCGACAGAGCA